GUGCUCACUUUGGCAGCACAUAUACUAAAAUUGGAACGGUACAGAGAAGAUUAGCAUGGCCCCUGUGCAAGGAUGACAUCGAAAUUCGUGAAGCAUUUAAAAAACAG
rnacentral:snRNA from 1 species